UGCUUAGCUCAGCUGGUUCAGAGCAUCUGCCUUACAAGCAGAGGGUCGGCGGUUCGAAUCCGUCAG
rnacentral:tRNA from 1 species